AAAUAAUAAAACAUAUUCCUUCUAGUAAAAGAUUUAAGCCUAAAGAAGCCAGGCAAGACCAUUUAGUUCCUUACCAUAGUCCCUCUCUCAGAGACUACAUUAAUUUUCAUUUGUUGGCCAGAAAAAUACCUGGCCAAAUACCUAGAGAAAUCAGUGUAUGAAGAUGGCACAGUUUGGUGGAAACACUCUGGCUUAGACUCAGGCUCUGGAGGCUCAAGUCAUGCCCCCACAUUUAGAAUCCUGUAUUGUUUACCUAGUUAUUUGACAUUCUGGCCUUAGUUUUGUCAUCUGUAAGAUGGAGGCAAUAAUACCUGCACAGUUUAUGGAGUUAUUAGGUGGCCCCAAGCAGGCGAUGGAGGGUACUUUGCAAGGUGAUACACAAAAGUGAGAAAUGACCGGGCCUCCCGUCUGUCCAAGGACAAGCAUGCUUCCGGCAGGGUCUGCUGUGUGCACGGAGCACCCGUCAGCCUGGAGCAGACCUGAGACGCUGGCACAAGAACUGUCAUCUGGAGAAGCGUCACCUCCUGUCCGGCUGAGGUUCCACGGGGCUUCUGCCAGAGACCUGAAUAAAUGUUAUAGAACAGCCCAAUCUCACUGUCCUCCUUUGUCUUCCAGAAGCCCUUGCCCUGUCCUGAGCUUACUGACAUGGCCAAAAGACUGAAAAUGCUAACAAGACAGGGAGCCCCCCAUCUGCAAAUCCUGUUCUUACCCAUCAAGCUAAGCCAGCACCUGUACUUGUUCCAGGUUGAGCCCAACAGCAGCCUCAUAUCCUAAGGCACAGCUCGCUGAGUUCUGAGCCCUCCCAAGGGAAGGUCUUAACCCUAGCUCAUCCAUUUCCAAAGCUGAGGCCAUGAGCCAAGUGUCCCAGGAUGCUCUCCACUCUGCCCACAGAGCGAGGUCGCUGGUCUCUGAAGCAAGUCCCAGGUUUCCCACACUUCCCCCAUGAGAAGAAUUCUGGGGUGCUUGUUAAACAUCCAGCUCCCCAGGUAUGUACCCUGAAGAUUCUGUUUGAGUUGGUCUUGAGUAGGACACAGGAACCGGUGUGUUUAAUAGGCACCCAGGGGAUAACAAUCAAAUGUGACUCAAAGCCAGCGCGGUAACCUUGGCUCAGAAACAAGCAAAUCUGGCCAGGCGCAGUAGCUCACACCUGUAAUCCCAGCACUUUGGGGGACUGAGGUGGGCGGAUUACUUGAGGUCAGGAGUUCG
rnacentral:lncRNA from 10 species